rnacentral:piRNA from 1 species
UGCACAUGCGCUAUACAUACCCU